AUGGGCGAUUUGUCCUCACUUCCGCGGCUGCCGCAGCAAGAAUUGAGCCGACGGCCUGGGCAUUGGAUCUCAGUUUGCUUUGGGAGUCUGGAUCCUACCUGGAAGGGGCACAACUUCUUGGUUUUUUGCUAACGAAGUUGAACGUUUGACGUCUGAAGAACAGCAUACUCGGUGGCUAAAGUUGAAAAAUGAGAGGAGUCCAUAAGGAGGAAGUGAUCUGUGGUAAGUGGUAACUCACUAAUACCAAUUAGACUACCACCUAACGGUGCUG